UAUUUGAUCUCUUGAUGACAGCCAUUCUUUCUGGGGACCCCCAGGCAAUUGACAAAAGCCAGCCAUGUCCACAAUUCCUGUCACAACCGAUGCCCUGUGUUUGUGCUGUUCAACUGCUGCUGCUGCUGCUGUACGAUACCAUGCCACCCUUGCCACCUGUCUCGCAACACAGCCUACCCUGGGGGACUAACCGCGUGUGCCACCACAGCAAGCCAGAAGACAGUGCUGCCCCUCCCAGCUCUGCCAGUGGCUCCUGUUGCGUGUGACUGGUGAGCGAGCCGACCUCAGAAUCCCAUCCUCGGGGUCUGUUUUCUAGGGAGCCACUUCCUGCAUCGACCGUCAGAGUGCUUUGUAGAAAAAUUGUGUCCAAAAGAACAAAACCAGGAAAGCAAGGGGCCAGAGGCCACCCUGCCUUGAAGCCAAC